rnacentral:rRNA from 1 species
UACGUAGGGGGCAAGCGUUGUCCGGAUUUACUGGGUGUAAAGGGCGCGCAGGCGGGUUUGAAAGUCAGGGGUGAAAGCCUACAGCUUAACUGUAGAAUUGCCUUUGAUACUUUAAACCUUGAGUACGGAAGAGAGAGACGGAAUUCCAGGUGUAGUGGUGAAAUACGUAGAUAUCUGGAAGAACACCAGUUGCGAAGGCG